CUGAAUCUAAAAAUAAAAGAGUUAAAAAGUAUGAAACCAAAGAAAGUGGAAUACUAAAAUCCCAAGAAAACUGUAGAAAAGUUUGGAAGAAACACAUUAGCUUUCUCAGGGGAAAACAGUAACACGUUGGGGGCAGUUUAAACGAAGCCUAUAGGUUUGCCUUUUUUUAGCUUCAUCACCCAUGUGACGCUCAAGAGUUCAGCGUGUGGGUCCAGGUAUUUCUGCCAACACAAAGAAUUCAUUACAGCCUUUUGGAAAGGCGCAUCAUUCUGACUGUCUCAGCUUAUUCCCUUCGCUCUCCCCAAGAGCUGUUAACCCCAGGUACACUUUGAUUCUCUUUACGCACAUCCUCGCAGAUGGGAUCCUUUCUCAGUCUUUGGAUUUCUCCUUCGGAUCAAAACCACUGCUGAUGGAGCCAGUGGGCUGCCGGGUGUGGGAAGAAUUUUCAGGCUCUGCACAUCAGGCUUGCAGCUUAAUAACUGAUUAAGUGCACCUUGCAGUGAGAGUACAAAGGAAUGAAGUAUAUUGCUGUAUUCUGGCAUGCAAGUCAUCAAGUUAGUGCACCUGACUGAGUGCGACUUGAGGCAGAGCUUCUGUGAGGACUCAUAGACAUUAUGAAACAGUCAGAAGGCCAAGCCAGGAUGGGAACCCCACUGAGCCAUGCACUGUGCACACACGCAUACAAGAAACUUCAUUUUCUUGCUCUUUGGACUGCUGGGAUCCCAUAAUAACUCAUCAAACUAUUGCUCAACUAUAGAACAAAUCCUUUGAAGCUUCUGUAUAAUAAAAACGAGUGCAUAGGUUGAAUUUCUCAUUGGAACAGAAAACAGUCACCCUCACCUCUGAAUGAUUUAGUUGUUUGUUUUCCUGGAUAGUCCGAGGUUUGAUACUUUUCAGUCCUUUAUUUGUAAUUAAUUUUAUGGAUGUAACAACCAUGUAUAUCCUCUGAUGGAAAAAAAAAUGGCAAGCAUUUUGGUAACUGUCCACCACGGGACAAUUUCUGACAGCAGGUCAGGAGUUGCAAGAAUAAGCAAUGAUAUCCUCCGUGAAGAAAGCUUGUAUCGGUCAGUACAGCAGGCACACAGGAAAGUCUGGAGCUUCUUCCAGACUCCUCAUUUCUUCAGCUGCCACAGAAUCCUACCUUCUCUUAACUCCCUGAAUCUUGUUCUGUAUGUUAAGGUUCUUGUGAAAUCCUUCCUUUCACAGUUCCAUAAAAAUAAGCUAUUAUAUGCCUAUUAUGAAAGCCUACCCUCCCUUGUCUAGUAACUGAAACAGGUCAAGACAAAAGGUAAGGGAUGUAAAAUACCAAUUCCACUCUUCCAGAACAGAGGGCUGAGGCAGAGACUAGGUAAAUAGUUCAAGGACACAGCUUCCACCAUUGGUGAGGGAACCUAAACAGAGUCACUGAAGCUCACAGGAAGCUACAGGAGCCAUAGAGGAAGAGACAAGCGGACUUUCGUACCAGAUUCAAUUUCAUGCGUGCACCUGCUCUUACUACAGACUUGAGAGAGCUACUAGAAUGGAAUUCUCUUCUCAGACCUGAACAAAUACAGGAAACCCCAUUCUUCUGUCCUCCUCCAAGUUGAGAGGGAGAGCAGAACCCCACUGGGUCACUGUGGGAAUGAACAGGAAGAAGUGAUGAGUGCUGGACCACAUUUGCAGAUAUUUUCUGCUUC
ensembl:lncRNA